UACGGAGGGUGCAAGCAUUGAUCGGAAUUACUGGGCGUAAAGGGCGCGUAGGCGGCCUAGCAAGUCAGAUGUGAAAUUUUGGGGCUCAACCCCAAAGCUGCAUUUGAAACUGCUAAGCUAGAGUGCAGUUAGGGAAAACGGAAUUCCACGUGUAGCGGUGAAAUGCGUAGAUAUGUGGAAGAACACCGGUGGUGAAGACGGUUUUCUGGGCUGUAACUGACGCUGAGGCGCGAAAGCAUGGGGAGCAAACAGG
rnacentral:misc_RNA from 1 species